AUUGUUCGGAAUGAAAAUUCUGGGAAUUAUUUAUGGCCUUGCGCGAACGAUACGUGUUGAAAGGUAUCGCGCGAUACAGAUGGUACAAGGAAACAGACAAAGGGUUCGCACGACUGGCUUCGCGAGCAAUUCGUCGACUGUGAAUAAUUCAUAAAUCAAACAAGCUGGUCGAGGUUGGUCAAGGUGAAACUGGCCUCGCUGCUUAUCUGUGUUUCGUCCCCUUUUUAUUUUUUAGAACGACCAAAUCGUCGACGAGCGACGAAAUGUGACACCACGGUAAUAUUUUCUGAGAUAUUAUUAUUUCUUUCUUAGUAGAAACGUAAGAUGAUACGUCCAAAGAUGGGCAGUUAAGAUAUACAUAGGCACGUAAUAGCGAUGUUGCACGCUAUUCGUCAUUUUGAAAGAAAUUCUCAAGAUUGCCUUCAAGCGUGCGACCACUAGCGUUACCGUCGGAAGGCAGAGUAACGAAAAUCUUAGAAAUGGUCGUACUUUCUUCGAGUGGUGUGUCUGAAAGACACGCGGAAUUAGAUUUCUGCUAAAUUGAAAAGUUUCGACGCAGAUCUUGUUCCCGAUAUAUCAACGGAGACUGCAGCAAAUAAAUAAUACACAGCGUCAUGCGUUCUAUCGAUUUCAUACGUGCGCGAAAAAUAAAGUAACGCGAGUGGUUUCCAAGAUUUUAAUAUACGUUACGUGCGAAGUUUCGUGUUUGUGAAUGUUCGUUCGUGAAAGAAAGGAAAAGUAACGAAAUUGAAUUCUAGAGGCAGAGGAUGAAGUAAAAAGGAAACAACCGAGCUUAUUUCAGAAGAAAGUUUAUCGGAAACUAGAAAUACGGUUUCCUUCUGCCUCUCUCAAAUUUGGAAUCAAAUCGAUCCUAUCGUAAUCUGACCAAGAUUUUUUUUAUUCAAUUUCCGAUUCGAAUCCUAAGAGCUUCCUGCUUUAAAAAUUUUGCAUCGUUUACUUUAUUUACAAUUCGAAAGAAUUUAUGUUCAAACGUUGUAUUUAACGGUCACCGAUCCAAAAUUAUUUGCAUCUUCUCCGAGCUUUUGCUUUUCAACGCAAAUACUGGCUUUGCUAGAUGCUCGCGCAACCGCUAAAAUGAAAGCUCUGUUUCAUUUUCUAUUUCGAUGACCACGAUACUCCGCUCAAAGGGUAAACUAUGUAACUGCAAUGAGAGCGAGAGCGAGAAAAGAGAGAGAGAGAGAGAGAGCGAGGGAUACACAAAGAGCGAAAACGAAGCAAAAGAAAAGGAGAGAUAAAAGGAGAAAAUAGAAAUACGCGGUUUACCGUCCCUAUGCACCGAUAAGCAACGAACCGCGCACUUUAUUAAAAUUCCUUCGAUACGAAAGUCAUGUAUACCUGCAAUUCGAAUUGAUAUCAAGUUUCACGAUAUUUCUAGCGACCGCGACUAGUCGGAUUUCGCAAACAGACCGCGUUUCGAAAUAACCUACGGAAAGGAAAAUAUCCCACGAGCAAAUUUUCGACAAAUAUACUGUACCUAUACCGAGCUGAUGCUCGGAUCCUCGUCGCAACGAACAAAGUAUGUAUUCUGUCGCAUCUCGGUUUCCAUUUGCAAGAUGUACUUAGAGAGAAAUUACAUAUAUAUUCGAUACAUGUAUAUCGAAUCGAGAAUCGAUUUUCUAAAUUAUCGUUCUUCUCUCGUGAUUUAACCUAUUCAGUAAAAUGGCUGCCGGUAAAACAAAGCAAAAGUAAAUACGUCGGUUGGCGGGUAGUUUGAAUUCUAUAGAAUUUACACCUGCCCUCCUUGUGUUGACAAUUCCAACGGAAAAACGUGAUUCACUUUAUCUUCUGGUUUUAUUAUAGAUUCUACACAUUCUAUUCUUUCACCUUUUGUGUUUUCGUCCAUGGACAUACGGAGAAUAACCUUCGACGGCAUGGCGUAGAGAAAAUCGAUUCGUAAUAACGUAAAUCCUUGGGGUAAUUAAGACGAUCGAUUCUGGAAAAUCGAGUUUAUUCUGGGAAUAAAUUGAAUUAUAUACAAUAACAAUUCAUAACAAUUCUACUAGACAUUUUACCUGUUGAAUCGAGAAUCGAUUUUCUAAAUCUUAAAUUACCUUCCUUCUCUCGUGAUCUAACCUAUUCAGUAAAAUGGCUGCCGGCAAAACAAAGCAAAAGUAAAUAUAUCGAUUGGCGCGUAGUUUGAAUUCUAUAGAAUUCUUUACAUAUGUAUAUAUAUUUCUUUCGUUCUCUAUGAGACAAGCCAGUUCGAUGUUUUCUGAUUAACUCGUCCUACGUGUGUUCUACCAAUCAAAAGACGAAUCCUACUCCUGCGCGUGUCGAAGUGUCUAAAAGCAGUAAGAAUCGAGUGAGGGUUUGCGACUGCGACUUAAAUUCUUGCUAGUCGAGGGGUUGAUCUUUCUAAAAUCCUAUCGACGACUUCUCAUUCGACCCGUGAAUAAUUCAUCCUGAGCCGAACUUCCAAUGGUAACCCAGUAAACGGAAGAGGAAUCAUAGAUGAAAUCGAAGGAAAGGAUUAACCUGCUGUUCUUUUGUUCGAUUUCGCGAGAGAAAUUCGUCUCUCGUCGUACAAAACGACUACGAGAACGAAUAUAAAGUAGUUGCCUGAAUAUCGUGCAUUUUUAAUUUACCGUUUGAAACAUUAAAUUCUCUUCGUUAAUCGACAGCGAUGCUACGAUGCUUCAACUCGUUACUGCGAGGUAAUUGUAUCGAAGCUUUUGUUCGUUUGCUACAUCGUUAGGGUCGGUUUGAAAGAUGGUGGAAGGAAAAGGAAAGCUAUUCAUCCGGAUGAUAAACUUUUCAAGCGUUCCGAAAGCCUUGAAAUACUAGCGGCGAAAAAAGGGAUUGAUCGUUCGAGAUUUAUGAAUCGCGUCCCCUCGAGACUACUUUCAACUUCGAUGAGACGAACAAUCGUAAUAUAAGCCGUUAACAAGUCCAGUACAAAACCGAAGAAGAUUUGUUGCAAGAGAAACGUUAUCUUAUUUUUCCAUUGCUCGAAGGUUUCGAAAGAAAUGAAUAAUUAGUUUUCAAUCAUUCCGUAGAGAAGUAUCGAGUAUUGAAAGAGUAAAGAAAAUUAUAUUGGCUGAUUGCACGCGACUCGAGCAGUGUAGCAAAGUUUUUGCGGUCGGAGACUCGGUCGAAAUUGAUUUGAGGUCGAAUCUCACGAUAUCUAAAGUUUGUCGUUCGAAAAGCACACAAGCUCGAAGUUCAGCGGCAUCGACAGACCUCUGUUGCUCUAUUUACAUCUACAAAGUUUUAGAGUUACUGGUUCAACAGUAGCCAACCGAUUUAUCAAUAUCCGAUACAGAUGCUGAAUUGCGUUAAGGCCUCGACCAAAUCGACUGGCCAUUUCGAGAAUCAAAAUUUCGAUUGACAAAAACAAAUAAUAUAAAACGGUGAAACAAAGUUACGGCCUACAGUAUAAGAUUAUCCAAGUUGAGUGUCACAUCUUUCAACGGUUAGCAUUGUAAAACCGCUUCACAUGUCUUCGAUUGAUUUUGAUUGAUUUUAUCGGGAGAUAUGUAACAAAUCACUGUGGGAUGCUAUGGAGUGCAGCAGCGUAUGCAAAUUGCUGAAAUUUAUUAUCAAAUUACCAUUUAAUAAAAGUUUCAUUUCACCGAGAACAGACAUCAAGUGACCAACAAGAUCGAGGUUAGGUUGGGGUUAGGUUAGAUUUAAUAUCGUUAGACCUAUUUUUAGGAGGAUUUUUGGAAAGUACGUCAAUAGCCCAGGGAUGAUUGAAAAACAAUGUAAGCCACUCUAUUGAUGCAAUGGAAUCUCAGUCAUGCGAAAACGUAGAAAAAUUGAGUCAAACGAGGCAGACGAUAGAAUGAUAUCAUGUUCCAUAAUUAAUGUCAUGAAGUAAAUCUUAUGUUAAAAUAAACAAACCAGACAAAUCUCAA